rnacentral:other from 1 species
AUGUCGUAAUCUUAAGGUGUUGGCAGGAUGCUGGCACGGAAAUGGAAAAGCUCACGGAUAGAGUAUCUUCAGGACGAAGAUUCGAUUGUUCAGGAUGAAUAGUCGGCAAGGAAAGCAAAGGAUAUUAACGUUAAGUUCGAAAUAGCUAGGAUGGUUGUUUUAGAACGGUUAAUAGACAACUUAAGGGACUAAGCGUCUGUCAGGAUGACAGAUUCAGGACACCGCUAGGAUGGCGAUGAAAUGGAAUGCGCUGAAGGAACCAGCAGAUUAUCAAGGAAUAGAUGCAGGGAGCACCUAUUAGUAGCCGGAUUGCUGCGAAGAGAAUAGAACCCCGCUAAGUGAAAACUUAGUGGGGUUUUCUUUUACC